GUGAGGGGUGCGAAUCAACAGUUCAGGGUCGAAACAAGGCAAGACUCCUGAUUCUGUCCCACCUAAAAAUCCCUGCCUUUGGCGGGGAUUUUUUUU
rnacentral:misc_RNA from 1 species